rnacentral:misc_RNA from 1 species
GGAAGUAAAAGUCGUAACGAGGUUUCCGUAGGUGAACCUGCGGAAGGAUCAUUACUGAGUGAGGGCCCCUCGGGGUCCAACCUCCCACCCGUGUUUAACGAACCUUGUUGCUUCGGCGGGCCCGCCUCACGGCCGCCGGGGGGCAUCUGCCCCCGGGCCCGCGCCCGCCGAAGCCACCUGUGAACGCUGUCUGAAGUAUGCAGUCUGAGACAAUUAUUAAAUUAAUUAAAACUUUCAACAACGGAUCUCUUGGUUCCG